rnacentral:rRNA from 1 species
UGGGGAAUAUUGGACAAUGGGCGAAAGCCUGAUCCAGCCAUGCCGCGUGUGUGAAGAAGGUCUUCGGAUUGUAAAGCACUUUAAGUUGGGAGGAAGGGCAGUAAGCGAAUACCUUGCUGUUUUGACGUUACCGACAGAAUAAGCACCGGCUAACUCUGUGCCAGCAGCCGCGGUAAUACAGAGGGUGCAAGCGUUAAUCGGAAUUACUGGGCGUAAAGCGCGCGUAGGUGGUUCGUUAAGUUGAAUGUGAAAGCCCCGGGCUCAACCUGGGAACUGGAUCCAAAACUGGCGAGCUAGAGUAGGGCAGAGGGGGGUAGAAUUUCCUGUGGAGCGGGGAAAUGCGUAGAUAUAGGAAAGAACACCAGUGGCGGAGGCGACCACCUGGGCUCAUACUGACACUGAGGUGCGAAAACGUGGGGAGCCAACAGG